UUUGAGUUGUUUGGUUUCCCGAAAUAAUAAGAGCUAGGAGAAAGGAUUGAAAUUUAUUCGUGGUAUAGGGUUAUUUAAGUUUUUUUUAGUGAUGAUAUGUUAUUCGUUUAUUGUGAUAUCUGGUUUUCUUGGAAAUGAAUUUAGUUCAUGUCUUAUUAUGCUUUAUUGUAUAUUUUAUGAUUAGUUAGUAUAUUUGGACUUAGUAAAACAGGGAUAAGCUUGUUUUAUUUUUCAAUAAUUUGUUGUUUGUUUAUUAUGUCUUGGGUUUUGAGUCUGUCAUAGAUGUUAGAGUUCGUUGUAGAUUAGUUAUAUUGAUUGUUUCUGUGUAUUUUGUUUAAUGUACAUGAAUGUUUUAUGGUAUUUUUAUUUUUUAGUAAUUAUGUUUGAAUUAGUAGGGGUAUAUUGUUAUAGUGUUGUUUUGGAUUUGUUGUUUAUUGGGUUGUGGUUGGAAAUGUUAUGAAGGAACUCGGCAAAUAACUUCUCUGCCUGUUUAUCAAAAACAUGGCUUCUUGUUGGAGAUAAGAGGUCUUUUCCUGCUCGCUGCUUUGUUAAAGUAAAGGGCUUGCAGUAUACUUGACUGUACGAAGGUAGCAUAAUAAAUUGCCUAUUGAUUGUUGGCUGGUAUGAAUGGAAUGACAAGGGAUUAACUGUCUCCAUAAUAUUUUGAUUGAAGUUCACAUUUUGGUGAAGAGGCCAAAAUUUUGCCARGGGACGAUAAGACCCUAUAGAUUUUUAUUUUUUAUAAUUGCUUGGUUUAUUAUGUGUUAUGCUUAUGAUUUGUUUUUAAUUAAUUUAGCUGGGGCGGCUAUUGAAGAUGAGGAUCUUCAGUUGAUUUUUGGCAGAUUUGUUUGUAGUGAUCCUUUAUUAUGGAUAAUAAGAUUAAAAUACCUUAGGGAUAACAGCGUUAUUUCUCUUGAGAGUUCUUAUCGAUAGGGAAGUUUGCGACCUCGAUGUUGAAUUAAGAGUAAGAUUAGGGUGUAGGGGCUUUAAUUACUGGGUCUGUUCGACCUUUUAUUUUUUACGUGAUCUGAGUUCAGACCGGMCCUAUAGUGAG
rnacentral:rRNA from 1 species